AGCUAAUAAGCUUUAAUAAGCAUAUGUUUUGAAAACAUAAAAUAAAAGUUAAACCUUUUAUUAGCUU
rnacentral:tRNA from 1 species